UACGAAGGUGGCAAGCGUUACUCGGAAUUACUAGGCGUAAAGGGCAGGUAGGUGGUUUGAUAAGUCUGUUGUGAAAGCUCCCGGCUUAACCGGGAGAGGUCAACGGAAACUAUCAGGCUUGAGUAUAGGAGAGGUUACUGGAAUUCCCGGUGUAGCGGUGAAAUGCGCAGAGAUCGGGAGGAACACCAAUGGCGAAAGCAGGUAACUGGACUAUUACUGACACUAAGCUGCGAAAGCUAGGGGAGCAAACAGG
rnacentral:rRNA from 1 species